rnacentral:lncRNA from 1 species
GGAGAGUUCUAGAAGAGCGUUUUCUCGAAGAUCAGGAUUGCUGAGAUCAAGCACAAGCUGUUCAGCGGAUUGCAUUUUGCGAUCCUUAUCGGCCGGAGCUCCAACUGAAGAGGAAGAGGAUGUUGCCGCUCCGCCGCUACCGAAACCGCCAACGCCGAUUGAGAAAGACUGAGGUAUUCCGACUGCAGAGGAAGAGGAGGCUGCCGCUCCGCCGCUACCGAAACCGCCUACGCCGAUUGAGAAAGACUGAGGUAAGUUUGCCAUAUCAGAGACUCAACUGAAAGCUUUAUUGUUUUAUGUUUUGCCUUUUUCUUCUGUUCCGAAC